rnacentral:rRNA from 1 species
UGAGGUAGAGCGACUGAUAAGAUGCGAGGGCUUCACCGCCUAUCAAGUCUUGACAAACUCCGAAUGCGUGUCAGUUCUAUGUCAGGAGUGAGGGCAUGGGUGCUAAGGUCCAUGUCCUAAAGGAGAACAAUCCGGACCAACAGCUAAGGUCCCAAAAUGAAUACUAAGUUGAACUAACGAAGUCAGAUUGCUAAGACAGCUAGGAUGUUGGCUUGGAAGCAGCCAUUCAUUUAAAGAGUGCGUAACAGCUCACUAGUCGAGGAGUUUGGCGUGGAUAAUAAUCGGGCAUUAAGUAUUCUACCGAAGCUUUGGGAUGUGUAAACAUCGGUAGGGGAGCAUUCCACUCAGCGUUGAAGGUGAGGCGUGAGCCUUGCUGGAGCGUGUGGAAAAGCAAAUGUAGGUAUAAGUAACGAUAAAGGGGGUGAGAAACCCCCUCGCCGAAAGACUAAGGUUUCCUGAUCAACGCUAAUCGGAUCAGGGUUAGUCGGGUCCUAAGGCUCAGCCGAACGGCGAGGCCGAUGGCAGAACCGGUUAAUAUUCCGGUACUACCUCAAGGAGUGACGUGGAGACGGAGCAGUGACAGUGCCGCGGACUGACGGAAUAGUCCGUUAAAGGGUGUAGAUAUUGAUUCCUGCAGGCAAAUCCGCAGGAAGAGUCGAACCUGAUAGUAUGGAGCGUCCUUCGGGACAAUCCAAUAGUGCAUGUAAACAUACUCCCGAGAAAAUCCGCUAAACUUAAUCCUUGUGGUACCCGUACCGCAAACGGACACACGUAGUCGGGUUGAAUAUACUAAGGCGCUUGAGUGAUUCACGGUUAAGGAACUAGGCAAACUGACCCUGUAACUUCGGGAUAAAGGGUCCUCAGGGUGACUUGAGGCGCAGAGAAUCGGUCCAGGCAACUGUUUAACAAAAACACAGGGCUGUGCGAAAUAGAAAUAUGAAGUAUACAGCCUGACACCUGCCCGGUGCUGGAAGGUUAAGAGGAGAUGUCAUCGCAAGAGAAGCAUUGAAUUGAAGCCCCAGUAAACGGCGGCCGUAACUAUAACGGUCCUAAGGUAGCGAAAUUCCUUGUCGGGUAAGUUCCGACCUGCACGAAUGGUGUAAUGAUCUGGACGCUGUCUCAACCGUGAGCUCAGUGAAAUUGUAGUAUCGGUGAAGAUGCCGAUUACCCGCGAUGGGACGAAAAGACCCCGUGAACCUUUACUAUAGCUUAACAUUGAAUUUGGGUAAUUGAUGUGUAGGAUAGGCCGGAGGCUUCGAAGCAGGUACGCCAGUAUUUGUGGAGCCGCUGUUGAAAUACGGCCCUUUGAUUAUUUGAGUUCUAACCCGCGGCUGCGGGGACACUGUUUGGUGGGUAGUUUGACUGGGGUGGUCGCCUCCAAAAGCGUAACGGAGGCUUCUAAAGGUGCCCUCACGACGAUUGGUAACCGUCGGCAGAGUGUAAUGGCAUAAGGGCGCUUGACUGGGAGACUAACAAGUCGAUCAGGUAGGAAACUAGAGCAUAGUGAUCCGGUGUUUCUGUAUGGAAAGGACAUCGCUCAAAGGAUAAAAGGUACUCCGGGGAUAACAGGCUGAUCCCUCCCAAGAGCUCAUAUCGACGGAGGGGUUUGGCACCUCGAUGUCGGCUCGUCACAUCCUGGGGCUGGAGAAGGUCCCAAGGGUUGGGCUGUUCGCCCAUUAAAGUGGCACGCGAGCUGGGUUCAGAACGUCGUGAGACAGUUCGGUCUCUAUCUAUCGUGGGCGUAUGAAAUUUGCGUGGCUCUGACACUAGUACGAGAGGACCGUGUUGGAC